UCGCAGUACUGCGGAGA
rnacentral:rRNA from 1 species